rnacentral:rRNA from 1 species
GGAGUCUGGGCCGUGUCUCAGUCCCAAUGUGGCCGUCCGCCCUCUCAGGCCGGCUACCGAUCGUCGCUUUGGUGGGCCGUUACCCCGCCAACUGGCUAAUCGGACGCGGACCCAUCCCUCCCCGGAUCUCUCCUUUCCUCUGUCCCCCAUGCGAGUGACAGAGCUUAUGCGGUAUUAGCAGCCGUUUCCGGCUGUUGUCCCCCAGGCAGGGGCAGGUUGUCCACGCGUUACUCACCCGUCCGCCACUAGGAUAAAGCAUGAUCUGCCGAAGCUUCUCAGCGCUCUAUCCCCGUUCGACUUGCAUGUGUUAGGCACGCCGCCAGCGUUCAUC